CCGCCCCAAGUCCACUCACUGAUCGAUGAGAUGGUAUCUACUUUGCUGUCCAGCACAAUCUCCUGAGGGAAGUCUUCUCUAUUCACCACCCUGAGCUUGUUACCCUUGAACAUCAAAACAGUCGCUCUGGACUCGUAGAUCAUGACCGGAAGUACCAGACGAAUGCAGAUUUACCAACCCCCGAAUUUCCAUUCAAAUGGCAGCACAACAUCCACAUGAACGGCACCAGGAUCUUCCUGAUCUCUUUGUACAACCCAUCGAAUAUCUCCUUCACGUACAGCUUCAGAAUAUUGCUGUGGAAUGUGGUCAGACGAGCACCUUGAGCAAG
rnacentral:lncRNA from 1 species